CCUCCAUCGAAAGGGAAGGACAUUCUCAUAUAGCUCUUUUAUUGCUUGGCCACAGAAAGCAUUAAGAAGACGUUUUGAUCACAAUGUCUUCUGUCAAGAAAAGCCAAGGGCUUCUUCCAUGGUCUAGUCAUCCCAGCAAGAGUGAAGUGGC